UCUAUCUACCAUGCUCCCUCGCGGUUCCCACAAUCCCCAGCACAGUAUGAUGUAUCAGUAUGCUGUGCUGGGAAUUGUGGGAACCGCGAGGGAGCAUGGUAGACAU
rnacentral:miRNA from 1 species